rnacentral:rRNA from 1 species
AACGAACGCUGGCGGCAGGCUUAACACAUGCAAGUCGAGCGCCCCGCAAGGGGAGCGGCAGACGGGUGAGUAACACGUGGGAACCUUCCUAGAGGUACGGAACAACUCAGGGAAACUUGAGCUAAUACCGUGUACGCUCUUGCGAGGAAAGAUUUAUCGCCUUUAGACGGGCCCGCGUCGGAUUAGCUAGUUGGUGGGGUAACGGCCUACCAAGGCGACGAUCCGUAGCUGAUCUGAGAGGAUGAUCAGCCACACUGGGACUGAGACACGGCCCAGACUCCUACGGGAGGCAGCAGUGGGGAAUCUUGGACAAUGGGCGCAAGCCUGAUCCAGCCAUGCCGCGUGAGUGAAGAAGGCCUUCGGGUUGUAAAGCUCUUUUGCCAGGGACGAUAAUGACGGUACCUGGAGAAUAAGCCCCGGCAAACUUCGUGCCAGCCGCCGCAGUAA